GACGACGCUGGCGGUGCGCCUAAUGCAUGCAAGUCGAACGGGCCCGAUUCGCUUCGGCUUAUCGGGGCAGUGGCAGACGGCUGAGUAACACGUAAGUGACCUGUCCCGAAGAGGGGGAUAAUCCCGAGAAAUCGGGCCUAAUACCCCGUAAGUUCCGGCGAUUACGGUCGUCGGUGGAAAGGUUCUUCCCGACUUGUCGGGGGGUUCCGCUUCGGGAGGGGCUUGCGGCCUAUCAGGUAGUCGGUGGGGUAAUGGCCUACCGAGCCGUGGACGGGUAGCCGGUGUGAGAGCAUGAUCGGCCAGAGGGGAACUGAGACACGGUCCCCACUCCUACGGGAGGCAGCAGCAGGGAAUUUUGCGCAAUGGGCGAAAGCCUGACGCAGCGACACCGCGUGGGGGAUGAAGGCCUUCGGGUUGUAAACCCCUUUUCUCGGGGAAGAGAGAGGACUGUACCCGAGGAAUAAGGUUCGGCUAACUACGUGCCAGCAGCCGCGGUAAUACGUAGGAACCGAGCGUUGUCCGGAUUUACUGGGCGUAAAGAGCGCGUAGGCGGCCCAUCAAGUCCCAUGUGAAAUCUCCCGGCUCAACUGGGAGGGGUCAUGGGAAACUGGCGGGCUAGAGGGCAGUAGAGGAAAGUGGAAUUCCCGGAGUAGUGGUGAAAUGCGUAGAUACCGGGAGGAACACCCGAGGCGAAGGCGGCUUUCUGGGCUGCACCUGACGCUGAGGCGCGAAAGCAUGGGGAGCAAACCGGAUUAGAUACCCGGGUAGUCCAUGCCCUAAAUGGUGGAUACUAGGUAUAGGGGGUAUCGACCCCUCCUGUGCCGUAGUUAACGCGUUAAGUAUCCCGCCUGGGGAGUACGGCCGCAAG
rnacentral:rRNA from 1 species